rnacentral:misc_RNA from 1 species
CUUUUUGUGCAUAAUGUAUAUAUAGGGGGGUGGUAGUACUCUUGGGGUAGAGAGGCAUGUGCUGGGAUGGCAUGCCAAGGCAUGUGCUGGGAUGGCAUGCCUUGGUGUGUGCUGGGAUGGCAUGCCAAGGAGAAGCAUGUGCUAGGAAGGCAUGCCAAGGCCAAGGCCAAGGCAAGCACAUGCAUUGUGAGCGAGAUGAGACGGUUGUCUUUACCCCAAGAGUGCCCAAGGGAGAGGAAAGAGGUGUCAAACGCAUGCUGAGCCCCACUUCGGUAGUUUGGCACCCCCAUAGGCAUUGAGGCAAGCGUGCCUAUGGGAAAAGUCUGUUGAGCUUGUCAGCCAUGUUGGGUAUUAUUGUCUGGAGGAGAUGAUGGCACAAGGAUGCUGGCUUUAAGGUAACGUUCCGGCAGCACAGCCAGCCCGCAAUUGCUAGUUCAAGCGGGUGGAAUCUGCCUAUAGGGGUGUUGCUUGCUUGCUGUGGAUUUGGGACACGCCCAAUAUCUAUCAUCGACCCAACGAAGUGCUCAACAUGGGUUGCUGAGGGCUAUUUUGGCCCUGAUGGUUCAGUUGUUUGCUUGGCUUUGAUAAACGUUUAGAUGUCAUGAUGCUUGGGAUCCAAUAAAUUUAUGUGGGAAGCUGAGAGCUGGAACCCAAUGUCAUUCACCAGACGGCUUAGCUUCGUCAGUGUGUAUAAUAUGUCAUUGAAUCCCAAACCUCGAUGCCAACCUGAUUAUGCCUUUUGGAUCGCAAUUAUCAUGGCUAUCGAAAACUGAGUAGGAGUCAUGGAAUAAGUGAACAAUUUGUAGACUUUAUAGUUGUCAGCUUUCGCAUCGCCCGGUGUGUUUUGGGAAUCGCUUUGUGCAUUUGGUUGCCUGCCGUGCCUCUUGGCAUACGGUGGGUGCCACUUGCCGGGUGGUUUCCGGAAACAUCUACCGUAAAGGUGCAUGAGUGGUGUUUGGUUUGUUACGGGUGGUUGGCUCUUUGCUUGCGCAACAACUGCCACCUGACUUACCUCUUCAGAUGUUUGCCUAGGCUUGUAUAGCCUAAGCAGAUUGUGGGUUUCCUGUGUUGCCUACCUACGUCACGGAAUUGUCCCGAUCGAUCAAAGUUGCUUUCGUCUUGUGUCGUCUUGAUGGCAUAAGAUGAACCCUGAAGCUGUCUCUUUGCACCGUAUCGUUAAUGCAUGCGUUGAUGUUGUGGCCCAUUGAGCAUUGCUUGGUACCUUGGAUACGGAACCUUAUGUGGGUAUGGGUCCUUAGGGAUCCUUGUUCUGCCCUCGUUUAGCGUUCGCGCUUCUCUUAGAAUGACUGCCCAGCCGGAAUGGGAAGCCAUUCUGGAUGGGCAUCGUCAAAGAGGAAUGC